GACAGAGGUGCCGAGCGUUAGGCGGAAUCACUGGGCUUAAAGCGUGUGUAGGCGGAUCGUUAAGUGUCUUGUGAAAUCCCACGGCUCACCCGUGGAACGGCUGGGCAUACUGGCGAUCUUGGGCCAACUAGGGGCAACUGGAACAAGCGGUGGAGCGGUGAAAUGCGUAGAUAUCGCUUGGAACGCCGAAGGUGAAAACAGGUUGCUGGGGUUGUGCCGACGCUGAGACACGAAAGCCAGGGGAGCAAACGGG
rnacentral:rRNA from 1 species